CACAGAGCAAGCAGAUAAGUUUCCCAGCGUUUACAGACUUCUCUUGGACUUCUGCAUAUCCUCCCAAUCAUCGCCAUAUAAAAACACCAGAUACAAUUCAAGAAUGUGCCAAUAACAGCUCCCUCAUCACAGGCUGGGUGGAUUUCCAAAGCACCAGAUGCUGAAUGCAGCUCCUCCAGGAAAGGUGGUAAUUGACAAUAGCCCCCCCAUGGAAGUCUCCCUGCAAAAAUUCAGGAAACAUUAGUUUGACAUCAUCAUCAUGUUUGCCAAGACAGCAAAAAUCCCAGCCGACAAAACUUCAAGGAUGAUGAAGUGGAACAGUGAGAACAGCGCAGAAUGACUGAUCAUUUCAGGAUGUCUUGAUGUCUUUAGCAAGAGUUUCCAAAGCUGGAGUUUUCCAUUGUCUCUGAAGUAGGAGCAGUAGGGAGUGGCUACUGUGGGAUUGGCCAUGGUGAUGUAGUUAGGGUUUCCUCCUCUUUUCUACCUUCCUCUCUGCGUUCAAGUGGUUCCUGGAGUUAAAAUUAUUUUUUAAUAUUUUCAUUUAACAACAAUAAAGACUUUUUUUUAUAAUUCAUUAAGUUGAAAUUGCACAGAAUAGUCAGUGCCUGAAUUUUUGCUGAGCUGAUCAUCACGUUGGCAUUCCAGGCCCUCCAUGUGCUGUGGACCUGGGGCAUGUUAUUUAGCUUCUCUGGGUCUUAAUUCCCUUGCUGGACACAUGAAGAGGUGUUGUAUUAGCUGGGCAUUUCUCCAGCUUCAGUCGUUUGGGUAUCACCUUCAUUAUAUUUGCCAUGUGGACUUCUCAUUUAUAUAAUUACUUCCUUAACAUUUUCCCCCUAAAUUGACUCAUUUGUUUAUUUGAGUCCUUUAAAAAAAAAAGUCUUGUCUAUAAUAUAUAGGAAAUCAUGGGGCAGAUAUGAUAUUGACUUUUUCUAAUACACAUAAAUAAGUGCAUAAUUAAAAUUAAAAGAUUUUCUACAUAUAUACAUAAACUGAAACUACACUCUACCACAUUGAUAUGUAGACCCCACCCUGAGAAACUGGCCAAACUGAUUUCUAAGCUCCCUUGAAGUGCUAAGGUAUUAUUGUUCACAUCUGGCCUCUCCUACCUAGGUUUAUUUCUCAUGUCUUCCUAAAAUAAAACCUCAAGUAUGGCCAGAUCAA